rnacentral:ncRNA from 1 species
AGUAACAACAAAGAAUGUGCUAAACUAUUAGAAGGAGUAAAAACUACGGCAGUUAAGAUAUUGCAGCCUUCCAAAUAAGAACUGGCCAAUCCUAAUCUCCUUGGUGCCUUCAGGAAUGCAAACACAGGUGAUGCUUGACUGUCGUCAGCUCAUGCCAUUAGGUAUUGGGUUAAGUCUCACAAUGAGUGCAACCCUCGUGUUUAGUUUCCAUUGUUGAGUUUAGAACCCUGAACAGACUACCGGUGAUUAGCCAAAGGAAGGUGAAGAUGACGUCAAGUUAUCAUGCCCCUUAUGCCCUUAGCAACACACAUGCUGUAAUGACCAGGACAAAGGUUCACAAUCCCACAAGGGUAAGCUAACCCUAUAAACCCAUCCUUAGUUUGGAUUGCAGGCUGCAAUUCGCCUGCAUAAAGCUGGAAUCGCCAGUAAUCGUCGGUCAGCCAUACGAUGGUGAAUUCAUUCC